GCGCAAGCAGAGGUUCUUGACUGAGUGGCGGACGGGUGAGUAACGCGUGGAUAACCUGCCUUUCACAGGGGGAUAACAGCUGGAAACGGCUGCUAAUACCGCAUGAGCCUCUUUUGUCGCAUGACGGGAGAGGGAAAGAGAAAUCGGUGAGAGAUGGAUCCGCGUCCGAUUAGCUAGUUGGAGGGGUAAUAGCCCACCAAGGCGACGAUCGGUAGCCGACCUGAGAGGGUGGACGGCCACAUUGGGACUGAGACACGGCCCAAACUCCUACGGGAGGCAGCAGUGGGGAAUAUUGCACAAUGGGGGAAACCCUGAUGCAGCAACGCCGCGUGAGUGAGGAAGUAUUUCGGUAUGUAAAGCUCUAUCAGCAGGGAAUAGAAAAGAAGGUACCUGAAAAAGAAGCCCCGGCUAACUACGUGCCAGCAGCCGCGGUAAUACGUAGGGGGCAAGCGUUAUCCGGAUUUACAGGGUGUAAAGGGAGCGUAGACGGAAAGGCAAGUCAGAAGUGAAAACCCAAGGCUCAACCAUGGGACUGCUUUUGAAACUGUCAAACUAGAGUACGGGAGAGGUAAGAGGAAUUCCUAGUGUAGCGGUGAAAUGCGUAGAUAUUAGGAGGAACACCAGUGGCGAAGGCGUCUUACUGGACCGAAACUGACGUUGAGGCUCGAAAGCGUGGGGAGCAAACAGGAUUAGAUACCCUGGUAGUCCACGCGGUAAACGAUGAAUACUAGGUGUUGGGGUAGAGAAACCUCGGUGCCGCAG
rnacentral:rRNA from 1 species